UCACGCUAUCAAGCAUAAACAUAGAGGACUCUGUUCUACACAUUUUGAGAGAAUGUGUUUCCACCGAGAUUCCGUAAAAAUUACAGAAAUGUGAUACAAGUGUGUUAGAAUCAAUAUAAAAUCAGACACCAUACCAACGAAUGACGCCGAUAUAUCUUUGGUUGGAUGAAAGGCUGUCAGACCGUGCAAAACGGAACAUUUUGGCGAAGCGGCUAUUUCAAAGAGGGAGCUUACGAAAAACGACUUUGUUCUGAGAAAAUCAGUUGAAAUGCUGGCUGCCUCUAGUUCAAGUAAAGCCCGAAAGUGCAAUAAUCACCCAAACAGUUUCUGCUACAUUUGUGGAAAAUAUAUUACAGUUUCACGAA